rnacentral:tRNA from 1 species
ACCGGUAAUGUUAGCCGAGUGGUCUAAGGCGCAUGGCCUAUAGAGCACUCGGGCUGGCUCACCGGCUAGGCAUAGGUUCGAAUCCUAAGCUGGUC